GACACCACUAACAUAUUGCCUCGUUCAC
rnacentral:sRNA from 1 species